rnacentral:rRNA from 1 species
CCUACGGGUGGCAGCAGUGGGGAAUAUUGGACAAUGGGGGGAACCCUGAUCCAGCCAUGCCGCGUGUGUGAAGAAGGCCCUCGGGUUGUAAAGCACUUUCAGUGAGGAAGAACGCCUGGUGGUUAAUACCCAUCAGGAAAGACAUCACUCACAGAAGAAGCACCGGCUAACUCCGUGCCAGCAGCCGCGGUAAUACGGAGGGUGCGAGCGUUAAUCGGAAUUACUGGGCGUAAAGCGCGCGUAGGUGGCUUGAUAAGCCGGUUGUGAAAGCUCCGGGCUCAACCUGGGAACGGCAUCCGGAACUGUCAAGCUAGAGUGCAGGAGAGGAGGGUAGAAUUCCCGGUGUAGCGGUGAAAUGCGUAGAGAUCGGGAGGAAUACCAGUGGCGAAGGCGGCCUUCUGGACUGACACUGACACUGAGGUGCGAAAGCGUGGGUAGCAAACAGGAUUAGAUACCCUAGUAGUC